UGCAUGUCUAAGUUCACACUGUNUCACGGUGAAACCGCGAAUGGCUCAUUAAAUCAGUCGAUGUUUAUUAGAUGAAAACUAUCCUACUUGGAUAACUGUGGCAAUUCUAGAGCUAAUACAUGCUUACCAAGCUCCGACCCUCGUGGAAAGAGCGCUUUUAUUAGUUCAAAACCAAUCGUCGUACCCUUCGCGGGGUGCGGCGUCCCGAUUGGUGACUCUGGAUAACUUUGUGCUGAUCGCAUGGCCUUGUGCUGGCGACGCAUCUUUCAAAUGUCUGCCCUAUCAAAUGUCGAUGGUACGUGAUAUGCCUACCAUGUUUGUAACGGGUAACGGGGAAUCAGGGUUCGAUUCCGGAGAGGGAGCAUGAGAAACGGCUACCACAUCCAAGGAAGGCAGCAGGCGCGCAACUUACCCACUCCCGGCACGGGGAGGUAGACGAAAAAUAACAAUACGGGACUCUUUCGAGGCCCCGUAAUUGGAAUGAGUACACUUUAAACCCUUUAACGAGGAUCAAUUGGAGGGCAAGUCUGGUGCCAGCAGCCGCGGUAAUUCCAGCUCCAAUAGCGUAUAUUAAAGUUGUUGCAGUUAAAAAGCUCGUAGUUGGAUCUCAGGCGCAGGCGGGCGGUCCGGCUCGCGCCGGCUCACUGCCCGUUGUCUCCUGCCCUACCCGUCUGCCGGCUCUCUCCCGUGGGUGCUCUUCACUGAGCGUCCCGGGUGGCCGGCGCGUUUACUUUGAAAAAAUUAGAGUGUUCAAAGCAGGCCGAGCUGCCUGAAUAAUGGUGCAUGGAAUAAUGGAAUAGGACCUCGGUUCUAUUUUGUUGGUUUUCGGAACUGGAGGUAAUGAUUAACAGGGACAAACGGGGGCAUUCGUAUUGCGGCGUUAGAGGUGAAAUUCUUGGAUCGCCGCAAGACGAACUACUGCGAAAGCAUUUGUCAAGAAUGUUUUCAUUAGUCAAGAACGAAAGUCAGAGGCGCGAAGACGAUCAGAUACCGUCGUAGUUCUGACCAUAAACUAUGCCACCUGGCCAUCCGCAGGAGUUGCUUCGAUGACUCUGCGGGCGGCCUCCGGGAAACCAAAGGUUUUGGGUUCC
rnacentral:rRNA from 2 species